GAGCAAAAGCGUCGUAUAAAAUGGCGCAGUUUGCAUUGAAGGUUGGCUAUAUCAAAUAAUAUCGAUUCUCCGUGCCUAUCAAAUUAAUCUCGUUUUGAUUAUGGCCUCGAACAAGUCGAUACAUU